AUUGAACGCUGGCGGAAUGCUUUACACAUGCAAGUCGAACGGCAGCACGGGGCAACCUGGUGGCGAGUGGCGAACGGGUGAGUAAUACAUCGGAACGUGCCCAAUCGUGGGGGAUAACGUAGCGAAAGUUACGCUAAUACCGCAUACGAUCUACGGAUGAAAGCGGGGGAUCGCAAGACCUCGCGCGAAUGGAGCGGCCGAUGUCAGAUUAGGUAGUUGGUGGGGUAAAGGCUCACCAAGCCGACGAUCUGUAGCUGGUCUGAGAGGACGACCAGCCACACUGGGACUGAGACACGGCCCAGACUCCUACGGGAGGCAGCAGUGGGGAAUUUUGGACAAUGGGCGCAAGCCUGAUCCAGCCAUUCCGCGUGCAGGAUGAAGGCCUUCGGUUGUAACU
rnacentral:rRNA from 1 species